UUUUAGUGGUCACUUAUAUUUGGUUUGUUUCUAUAAGCCGAAUCUCCUGAUCCAUCUCUACCAUUGGGGCCAGUUAUUGGAGGAAUCAUUGGGAUCAUCGUUCUCAUCUCCUUGGUGGUCUGUGUUUGCACUCUGUGUAGGAGGCCGAUAAAGUUGACACAUUCAACUCAACGGCAGAAUCAGAAUCAAACAGGUGAAGAGCUGACUGUUAAAGAGCCAGCAAGAAAAACAGAAGAAAAAGAAGAAGAAAAAGAAGAAGACAUCCAUUAUGGAGAGAUCGACUUCUCCAAGCAGAGACCUGAACUGUCCUCAUCCUCAGAGCAGGACAGAGGACAGCAGCAGGACACGCUGUAUGCACAGGUCAAAGUGUCCCAGACAGCACACAGCCGAACACAGACUGCUGACGGCCCAGAGGAUCUCUACGCUCAAGUGAAGAAAAAAUAGAGUUGUUUUGUUUGUGUACAGCAAUAUUGCAUUUGAUUCAUCUGAAAUGUACUUUUAUUUUUAUUUAUCAGAUCUUGUUUAUGUUCAACAGUAGAAAAACAACACUGGAUCCUGGACAGGAACAUUUAAUUUUCAUUGCCUACUGUUCAAAAAAGGGAAACUCAAAACCUCUACACCCUGCAGCUUUUUUUGUGUCAGUUAUCGACAUGUUAAUACGUGGGUGCUGAAAUCACACGGCCAUUGUUAUGUGAUUUGUUAUUUAAAUGUCAGAUACCUGCUAGCAAAAGUCCCAAAGCUCUACAAAAGGAACAAGUCUAAAUGACAUCAAAAGUAUUUCUGCACAUACUUGUAGAGCAGUGCAGGGGAUUAUUAGUAUAGUAUUGUAGUAGUACAAAUGUUAAUACAAGUGUGUGAAUUACAACUUUAUUUGCUAUUUGCAGAAACACCAUGAGUGAUAUUUUUAUUUUCCUUCUAUUAACCCCUCCCUCCUCUCACAGUCCUUCCUUUUUCACAGACUGUGACUUCUGCAUCGACCUGUCAGACAGCAGAAAAAACACUGACUCCAAUGCUAGUUGAUUUCUGCUACAAUCACUACAUUUCUAUUUCGUUUAGUUAUGAUUCACGCAGAAGCACCUCGAGGAUUGGCUUGUUUUUGUGUUUCACUUUUUGAAUUUCUAUGUUCAUAUUAAAUGCCACAGAGAUACAGAAAAA